rnacentral:rRNA from 1 species
AGUGGCGGACGGGUGAGUAACGCGUGAGAAUCUGCCUUGGGGUCGGGGACAACCACUGGAAACGGUGGCUAAUACCGGAUACGCCUUCGGGUAAAAGAUUUAUUGCCCUAAGAGGAGCUCGCGUCUGAUUAGCUAGUUGGUGAGGUAAAAGCUCACCAAGGCAGCGAUCAGUAGCUGGUCUGAGAGGACGAUCAGCCACACUGGGACUGAGACACGGCCCAGACUCCUACGGGAGGCAGCAGUGGGGAAUUUUCCGCAAUGGGCGAAAGCCUGACGGAGCAAGACCGCGUGAGGGAGGAAGGCUCUUGGGUUGUAAACCUCUUUUCUCAGGGAAGAAGCUCUGACGGUACCUGAGGAAUCAGCCUCGGCUAACUCCGUGCCAGCAGCCGCGGUAAUACGGAGGAGGCAAGCGUUAUCCGGAAUUAUUGGGCGUAAAGCGUCCGCAGGUGGCGAUUCAAGUCUGCUGUCAAAGCACGGGGCUUAACUCCGUAAAGGCAGUGGAAACUGAAUAGCUAGAGUGCCGUAGGGGUAGAGGGAAUUCCCGGUGUAGCGGUGAAAUGCGUAGAGAUCGGGAAGAACAUCGGUGGCGAAAGCGCUCUACUGGACGGCAACUGACACUCAGGGACGAAAGCUAGGGGAGCGAAUGGGAUUAGAUACCCC